rnacentral:rRNA from 1 species
CACGUAGUUAGUCCGGUGCUUCUUCUGCAGGUACCGUCACUUUCGCUUCUUCCCUGCUGAAAGAGGUUUACAACCCGAAGGCCGUCAUCCCUCACGCGGCGUCGCUGCAUCAGGCUUUCGCCCAUUGUGCAAUAUUCCCCACUGCUGCCUCCCGUAGGAGUCUGGGCCGUGUCUCAGUCCCAGUGUGGCCGGUCGCCCUCUCAGGCCGGCUACCCGUCGUCGCCUUGGUGAGCCAUUACCUCACCAACAAGCUGAUAGGCCGCGAGCCCAUCCCAAACCGAAAACUUUCCAGACCAUACCCAUGCAGGUUGGUCUCGUAUCCAGUAUUAGACGCCGUUUCCAGCGCUUAUUCCAGAGUCUGGGGCAGGUUGCUCACGUGUUACUCACCCGUUCGCCACUGAUCCACUCCAGCAAGCUGGAGCUUCACCGUUCGACUUGCAUGUGUUAAGCACGCCGCCAGCGUUCUCCUGAGCCAGGAUCAAACUCU